GCCGUGAAUCCGACGCGCGUGCAUAAAUCUAUCUUCCUGUUUUGCCUUUCUCGUGUCGCUAGCGGGCCUUCGAUUUGCUUCGUCGGGCAAGCAUUAUCGUUGCGAAUCUCCUCCACCUCCUCCUUUGGAUCGUCGACUAUUUCAAAAGAGGGAACAGGAAUAAGAGAGGUAUUGGUUUGCUAAUCCUACAUGGCUUUGGGGAUCAGCAGGUAUCUGUUUUUGCCUCUCAUCAGUGACCUAAUACUCUAUUUAGAUUUGCUAAGGUGGAGGUACUGGAUUCUCUAUUGGUCAUACUGCAGACCUGACUGAAGCUGAC